rnacentral:rRNA from 1 species
AUUGAACGCUGGCGGCAUGCCUUACACAUGCAAGUCGAACGGCAGCACGGGAGCAAUCCUGGUGGCGAGUGGCGAACGGGUGAGUAAUAUAUCGGAACGUGCCCAGUCGUGGGGGAUAACGUAGCGAAAGCUACGCUAAUACCGCAUACGAUCUACGGAUGAAAGCGGGGGAUCGCAAGACCUCGCGCGAUUGGAGCGGCCGAUAUCAGAUUAGGUAGUUGGUGAGGUAAAGGCUCACCAAGCCGACGAUCUGUAGCUGGUCUGAGAGGACGACCAGCCACACUGGGACUGAGACACGGCCCAGACUCCUACGGGAGGCAGCAGUGGGGAAUUUUGGACAAUGGGCGCAAGCCUGAUCCAGCAAUGCCGCGUGCAGGAUGAAGGCCUUCGGGUUGUAAACUGCUUUUGUACGGAACGAAACGGUGAGCUCUAAUACAGUUUGCUAAUGACGGUACCGUAAGAAUAAGCACCGGCUAACUACGUGCCAGCCGCCGCGGUAA